UACGGAAGGCAGCAGUGGGGAAUAUUGCACAAUGGGCGCAAGCCUGAUGCAGCCAUGCCGCGUGUAUGAAGAAGGCCUUCGAGUUGUAAAGUACUUUCAGUCGUGAGGAAGGUGUUAAGGUUAAUAACCUUAGCAAUUGACGUUAGCGACAGAAGAAGCACCGGCUAACUCCGUGCCAGCAGCCGCGGUAAUACGGAGGGUGCGAGCGUUAAUCGGAAUUACUGGGCGUAAAGGGCACGCAGGCGGUUAAUUAAGUUGGAUGUGAAAUCCCCGGGCUUAACCUGGGAAUGGCAUUCAAGACUGGUUAGCUAGAGUCUUGUAGAGGGGGUUAGAAUUCCAUGUGUAGCGGUGAAAUGCGUAGAGAUGUGGAGGAAUACCGGUGGCGAAGGCGGCCCCUGGGACAAAGACUGACGCUCAUGUGCGAAAGCGUGGGGAGCAAACAGGAUUAGAUACC
rnacentral:rRNA from 1 species